UUGGCCUCCACUUUCACAGGCCACUGGGAUCGCUGAGAGAAAAACUACUACCAACUGGCUUCGUUCGGCCUACUUCUCUCCUCAGAACGAUGCUAGCUCUGGGAGAGUUAACAGCCUCGGCCUACACUUUGGUAAUCCAAAACACCACUGCCACCACCAGAAAGGCCGGACCUGGACCAAACCUGACACACAUCACCCCAUGAACCCACUGACAACGGAUGGCCCCCUUUGGCCCCUCUGCUGACAUGUUUAAGGCCUUCCAGGCUGGCCCCUCGCUGCUAGGCCGAAAAGGAAGACGCCAUCUUGCCUCAGCUUUCAACUUCUUUGUAAGGCCCUACUUGCCUCAAAAGACAGCAGAGAACAUUGUUAUUAUCUUUUUAACGAUAUGCUUAUGAACACUUCUAGCCCCCAAAGCCCCAAUCCAAGCCUCCUUUGAUCAUUUUGCUAACACGUUUCAGGCCUUGCAGCCUGGCUCCAUUGUGCUAGGCCGCAAAAGAGGCAGCCAUCUUCCCUGUUCCACAUGGUUCCAAACAGAGCAGCUUUUGCCUGUGUCUUUUGGAUACAGCACUCUCCUUCAACAAGCUGUGGCAGUUUGUCUACUGGGGUGUCAAAUUUGAAGUCUGAUGGGAACAGAUCUGGAGCCCACAUUAACAGAAAAGUGUUGGCUACUCUACCAGUAACGACAUGCAAUGUGGAAAGAUCGUUUUCAACCAUGAAGAGAGUGAAAAGUGUAUCUAGAAGUUUAUUGACAGACCAAAGACUUAGUGACUAGCAAUGAUUUCCAUCCAUCGGGACAUCACUAUCAAACCAGAAAAAGUAAUUGACAAAAUGGCCGGGGAGAAGAAAAGAAGACUGUUGCUGUAAAGUAAAAAAUAAAUCAAAAAGUAUUCUAAACAAUUUGUUAAUGAAAGUAAAUAAAUAACAUUUAUUAUUUAAACUGUUAUGUUCAUUCAUAUCAUGAUCUAAUCACCAUGCUCAAUAUAUCCGGGCCUGAUUCUGGGUAUUUUAAAUUUAAGGAGAAGUCCAAUAGUAUUUAACGAAGAUCCAGCACACAACUUUUAGUUGUGUGAGGCAAAGGGCAAAAUGACACCCAUUCUCCAUUCCAUGUAUAGAAGCUGAGUUAAAAACCAGUUGGAUCUUAGAUCAAGCAGAAUCAAGACAGCCAUAUUGUCUAUUAACAGAAUGAAAUUAUUGGGAGACUUAGGAUGGAUAGUAAGGUAAUUGGUGCCACCUUAUUAUUUGCCAGCUGAGACGUUGCCUUAUUUUGACCACAACCAGCCUGAUUAAAUCAACCUUGUUCUUAAGGAGAUGCAACUACAACUACAGCUUUAGGAAAUCAAUUGGAUAAGAACUAAAACAAUGCCAAUUAACAUAGGCUGUACGCCCACUGCAAAAUUAUAGGAAUUUGACCCCCCAACCUUUAACAGUAAUGGUUCUGUCUUGUAGAAUUCUGGGAUUUGUAGCUUGAGGAGAUAAUAAUCAUCUCCACUAGGAAACUUUGGUAUCACUUUCUUGAAUGACAACGGUAAAGCUUUCUAGUAGAACAGUGGUUCUCAACUUUAAGUCCCCCAGAUGUUUGAAAUGCCAGCCUCCAGAAUUCCUGAUCAUUGAUUAUAUUGCUGAACAUCCGGAGGACCAAUAGUUGGGAUCUACUAUAAAAGAGAAUUCUAAAUCUCUCUCCAUACUAUAAAUUCUAGUAUUCCACAGCAUGAAGAAUUAUUAAGGUGCUAUAGCUAUUUAGUGUGGGUGCAUACAGGUUUACAUUUUAAAUUUAUCUGAUGUUAUAUCAAUGAUAUUCAAAUAUAUUUAUAGCAAAGUAUAUUUUAAAUUAAUUUAGAAGACAUAAUAUAAAAUGUAGAAAGAUGAACAUUGCUUGAGAUAGAAGCAUCAAGAGCUGGUGGCAGAAGUGUUAUUUAUUCAGGUUUAAUUCUGUCUUCUUGACAGACAGGAACAUGAUGAUAUGGCUGAAUUUGGCACUAGGAUUGGGGGUACAUCAGCUUGUUUAAGGGGCCAUACACCUGUCAAAGUAUAGUUUCCAGCUAUAACAACAAAAAAGCAGCAAGAUGAUUGCUGGGAGGAGAAGAACUAGUGGUGGCAGAAGUUAUUUCUCAGAAAGGCAGUAUCCCAUUGUCAGAUUAGUAUUGUCAGAUUCGUAAUGUUAUCAAGCCAAUACUUCUUUGCGUUUUUGGAAAAUGCCAUUUAUUUCAGUAGAAGCCAACAAUGAACAAUUUUGUAACAUAAGAUACAGAACUGUGGUAACGAAUGCAAGUUUAAAGAAAGGGACCAAUACUACUGCUAAUGCCCCAAUACAUUCCUUCUUGCAAGCCUAUAUAGUUUUCCAACUGGAUAGUGAACUCAUGUAUUCUAAUGGUCUUUCUCUUUUUUA